GACGAACGCUGGCGGCGUGCUUAACACAUGCAAGUCGAGCGGUAAGGCCCUUCGGGGUACACGAGCGGCGAACGGGUGAGUAACACGUGGGUGAUCUACCCUGUACUUCGGGAUAAGCCUGGGAAACUGGGUCUAAUACCGGAUAUGACCUUCCGAUGCAUGUCGGUGGGUGGAAAGAUUUAUCGGUACAGGAUGGGCCCGCGGCCUAUCAGCUUGUUGGUGGGGUAAUGGCCUACCAAGGCGACGACGGGUAGCCGGCCUGAGAGGGCGACCGGCCACACUGGGACUGAGACACGGCCCAGACUCCUACGGGAGGCAGCAGUGGGGAAUAUUGCACAAUGGGCGAAAGCCUGAUGCAGCGACGCCGCGUGAGGGAUGACGGCCUUCGGGUUGUAAACCUCUUUCGACAGGGACGAAGCGCAAGUGACGGUACCUGUAGAAGAAGCACCGGCCAACUACGUGCCAGCAGCCGCAGUAACAC
rnacentral:rRNA from 1 species